UUUUGGAAAAUGUGCUAUGACUUUAUCUCUAGACCUUCGCACCGGAGCAGUUAGUUCAGCCCAGCAAAUCCCUGGCACUUGAUGUGCAUCUUUCAUAACAGAACUUUGAUGCUGUGACUUGAUGCCUUGAAAUCAGCACAACAAAAUGGUGCUUGAAGAGCAGUGUUUACUUUGAUCAUUUUUCAACUUCUGUGCCCUAGCCUUUUCACGGAGUACAAAUUGCUUUACCAGAGUUAUGAGGCUGAAGCCCACGGACUGUUUUUGUAGUCUGGUUGCUGUGGUGAUUCUUAGCCUUCCAUGAAACUCCAUCUCCAGGGAAACAGAAACCUUUGCAGCUGUCUCAACCUUUUUGGUGCUGUAUCUGGUAGAGGUCUUCACCAAGCUUGUAGCAAGCCAGAGAGUGGUCGAUAGACAAAUACGUGGAAACAGGGCAUCGCAUUCAGGACACAUUGUAUUAUUUCCGACAAACAACUCUCUUAUCCUUCUCACGAAUCAUAGGGGACUUUGAAGUAUCUCCAAGUCUGACUAAAGCCAGAGUUCAGUGAGCCAUGGAGAUGUGUUGGUCAUGAUAAUGAUAUGAAAUUGAGAUGUCUUAUUUGCUGAGUUUGCAUAUAGCUUGUCCUUGAGAAUUUCCAGACCAGCAGUAGAGUAGUAUGCCCACUUUAUCAACAACUCUGGUGGGAAUUGGGUCCAGAGUAACAAAUGGAGAGCACUUCACAAGAAGGAAAACAGUUGGAGAAGACUGAGGGAAUCCAUCUUUAUAGGAGAACCUUCCUAUGAUGCCUCAGGUAGUGGAGAUGACUAAUGUGUUUUGUCUCCGGAUUUGCCUGCUUCGGACCUUUCAAAUAAAUGUAAUCAUACAACAUGUAAUGCUUUGUGUCUGGCCUU